AUUGAACGCUGGCGGCAUGCCUUACACAUGCAAGUCGAACGGUAACAGGUCUUCGGAUGCUGACGAGUGGCGAACGGGUGAGUAAUACAUCGGAACGUGCCCGAGAGUGGGGGAUAACGAGGCGAAAGCUUUGCUAAUACCGCAUACGAUCUCAGGAUGAAAGCAGGGGACCGCAAGGCCUUGCGCUCACGGAGCGGCCGAUGGCAGAUUAGGUAGUUGGUGGGAUAAAAGCUUACCAAGCCGACGAUCUGUAGCUGGUCUGAGAGGACGACCAGCCACACUGGGACUGAGACACGGCCCAGACUCCUACGGGAGGCAGCAGUGGGGAAUUUUGGACAAUGGGCGCAAGCCCGAUCCAGCCAUGCCGCGUGCAGGAUGAAGGCCUUCGGGUUGUAAACUGCUUUUGUACGGAACGAAAAGACUCCUUCUAAUAAAGGGGGUCCAUGACGGUACCGUAAGAAUAAGCACCGGCUAACUACGUGCCAGCAGCCGCAGUAAAAC
rnacentral:rRNA from 1 species